rnacentral:rRNA from 1 species
CCUACGGGAGGCAGCAGUGGGGAAUAUUGCUCAAUGGAGGAAACUCUGAAGCAGCGAUGCCGCGUGAGUGAAGAAGUCUUUAGGUAUGGAAAGCUGCAUCAGUAGGAGAGAAAACGACGGUACCUGUUUAUGUAGCCACGUAUCAUUACAUGCCAGCAGCCGCGGCAAUACGGAAGGGGCAAGCGUAAUCCGGAUUUACUGGGUGUAAAGGGGGCGUAGGCGGCCGGACAAGUGCGUAGUGAAAUGCCGGGGCUUAACCUCGGAACUGCGUUUGAAACUGUGCAGUUAGAGAGUAGGAGCGGUAGGUGGAAUUCCUGGUGUAGCGGUGAAAUGCUUAGAGAUUAGAAGGAACACCGAUGGCGAAGGCGGCUUAC